rnacentral:lncRNA from 1 species
ACAACAACAACAACAACAAACCCAGUGUAUUCCCACCUAGUGGGGUCUGGGGGGUAAGAUGUACGCAGUCCAUACCUCUACCUCUGAUGAAGUAGAAAGGUUGUUUCCGAUAGACCCCCGGCUCAAGACACGAGAUACCACACCAACACAUAGUAAAGCACAGAAGCAGAUUACAUAACAUAAAUACGGCACCCAUAAGUAAUAUAAAACAGAGGAAAGCACACAGAUUCGUA